rnacentral:rRNA from 1 species
CGAUAACGAACGAGACUCUGGCCUAUUAAACUUGACGCUGUCAGUCUCUUGUGACUGCGGCGCGCUUCUUAGAGGGAUCAUCGGCGUCCCAGCCGAAGGAAAGGGAGCAAUAACAGGUCUGUGAUGCCCUUAGAUGUUCUGGGCUGCACGCGUGUUACACUGAAGUGGUCAGCGCGCCGUUCAACACCCCUCUCCGUGAGGAGCUUGGGCAAACGUUUGAACCCUUUUCGUGAUGGGAAUUGGGGGUUGCAAUUGUCCCCCAUGAACGAGGAAUUCCAAGUAAGCGCAGGUCACUAGCCUGCGUUGAUUAAGUCCCUGCCCUUUGUACACACCGCCCGUCGCUACUACCGAUGGAUGAUUUGGUGAGGUCGCCUAGACUGGCUGCUGGCUUCGGCCGUGCGGCCGGGAAGACGCCCAAACUUGGUCGUCUAGAGGAAGUAAAAGUCGUAACAAGGUUUCCGUAGGU